rnacentral:rRNA from 1 species
UACGAAGGGGGCUAGCGUUGCUCGGAAUCACUGGGCGUAAAGCGCACGUAGGCGGCUUACUAAGUCAGGGGUGAAAUCCUGGAGCUCAACUCCAGAACUGCCUUUGAUACUGGUGAGCUUGAGUCCGGGAGAGGUGAGUGGAACUGCGAGUGUAGAGGUGAAAUUCGUAGAUAUUCGCAAGAACACCAGUGGCGAAGGCGGCUCACUGGCCCGGUACUGACGCUGAUGCGCGAAAGCGUGGGGAGCAAACAGG